rnacentral:sRNA from 1 species
AAUCCAAACCCCCCAACAAAGACUGAUACAAGCAAGAAGGAAAUGACAUCGGCGGCGGAUAAUCGUGGAGAUGAUUGACCAGGGCGGACAUACUGGUAGUUUGCUGCCCAAACGACUUCCAUGGAUGAAUCGAGUUGUGUUUCUCAUUCGGUGGAACAGCAGAGUCGAUGCUAGUACUAGUAUGCUGAUCUGGUUGUGAGUGAGAUGGCGGUGGAGGACAGAUGGUUCAACUCCAUACUAAUAUCAACCAGCCGAUCCCCCAUUUCAUAUUUCUCAAUAUUUUAAUUAUUUUUUGAUAGAAAAACAAGACCAUUUAGAUACCCAGCCUACCUUAUUUUAUCCUCCACAACAAUAUCCGCAACAAUGCCGGAGUGGGGGCUCCGUACCCUUGCCCAUCGAAUAUGCAAUACCACGUGAUCUACAAACCCAAUUCGAGACCUUCAUUUCUCAUCUUCCUCAACACAAAAAAAUAAAUAAAAAUAUCACCGCCUCAACAACAACCACAACUACAGAUUUCAUCGUUACUAAAUUUCAAAGAGACAUCCCGCGCAGCGCGCGAUGGCCUCCCAACGCUGGAUCCCGCCCUUCUUGCUGCCGAGAGGGAUCUCAAAACGAACUCUCCUCUGCUUCGCAUCCCAUAAUAUCCGCCUACAGCAAGCCUCGCUACAAGCAACUCCCCUCCGCCUGAAAUCCACAAGCUCCUCAUCAAAGCCCACCAAGACCUCCUCCGCCCGUGUCCUCGAGAAGCCAGACCGUUUCCGGCCCCCGUCCCACCCAGCACGGCGCGUGAUGAACCCACGCAGUUCACAGCCCCGCAACUACCCAGGGCCCCGUCUCUCUGAAGCGGAGCUGGCAGAGAAGAAGACGAAGCGGUAUCCGAACAUGUUCCCCCCGGAGGGGACGGUGAUGCAUAAGUUUCUGACGAACAGGGGUAUUCACGUUUGGAUCUCUAUGUCCGUCCUCAUCUCCCUCGCAACAUUCACCUUCACCACAAACUUCAAACAUACUUCUCCCUUCGCGCACCUGCUGCCGUCCUGGUCGCAGCUCCUCACCCACCCCAUCGACACCGUCUCGCAGGCCAUGGCGGUGCUGAAAAUGCAUGCGGAUCACCAGACACUGGAGACGGCGGAGAAGCGGAAGAAGAGGACAGACGACGUAGAGAAGCGGAGG